rnacentral:rRNA from 1 species
UGAGGAAUAUUGCACAAUGGGGGCAACCCUGAUGCAGCAACGCCGCGUGGAGGAAGAAGGCCUUUGGGUCGUAAACUCCUUUUCUAUGGGACGAGAGAGGACGGUACCAUAGGAAUAAGUCACGGCUAACUACGUGCCAGCAGCCGCGGUAAUACGUAGGUGGCGAGCGUUAUCCGGAAUUACUGGGCGUAAAGCGCGAGCAGGCGGUCUUUUAAGUUUGACGUAAAAUCUCCUGGCUUAACUGGGAGGGGUCGUUGAAGACUGGGAGGCUUGAGGCGAUGAGAGGGGUGUGGAAUUCCCGGUGUAGUGGUGGAAUGCGUAGAUAUCGGGAGGAACACCAGAGGCGAAAGCGGCACCCUGGCAUUGGCCUGACGCUGAGAUGCGAAAGCGUGGGGAGCGAACGG